AUUGAACGCUGGCGGCAUGCCUUACACAUGCAAGUCGAACGGCAGCACGGGUGCUUGCACCUGGUGGCGAGUGGCGAACGGGUGAGUAAUACAUCGGAACAUGUCCUGUAGUGGGGGAUAGCCCGGCGAAAGCCGGAUUAAUACCGCAUACGAUCUACGGAUGAAAGCGGGGGACCUUCGGGCCUCGCGCUAUAGGGUUGGCCGAUGGCUGAUUAGCUAGUUGGUGGGGUAAAGGCCUACCAAGGCGACGAUCAGUAGAUGGUCUGAGAGGACGACCAGCCACACUGGGACUGAGAAACGGCCCAGACUCCUACGGGAGGCAGCAGUGGGGAAUUUUGGACAAUGGGCGAAAGCCUGAUCCAGCAAUGCCGCGUGUGUGAAGAAGGCCUUCGGGUUGUAAAGCACUUUUGUCCGGAAAGAAAUCCUUGGCUCUAAUACAGUCGGGGGAUGACGGUACCGGAAGAAUAAGCACCGGCUAACUACGU
rnacentral:rRNA from 1 species